UACGGAGGGUGCGAGCGUUGUCCGGAAUCACUGGGCGUAAAGGGCGCGUAGGCGGUUUGGUAAGUCACGUGUGAAAUCCCGGCGCUCAACGCCGGGGCUGCAUGUGAGACUGUCAGACUAGAGCUCGGUAGAGGCAAGUGGAAUUCCCGGUGUAGCGGUGGAAUGCGUAGAUAUCGGGAAGAACACCGGUGGCGAAGGCGGCUUGCUGGGCCGAUGCUGACGCUGAGGCGCGACAGCGUGGGGAGCAAACAGG
rnacentral:rRNA from 1 species